GGUCUAGGCAACUGGUAUGCUGUUUUAUCUUAUGAUGCAUCUGUCCGCCUAUGCCCCCACUCGUGGGCAAGGAGCUGUAUGGAGCUCCUCCCUUUUUGGAAAAUGAAUGCUCACUGCUGAGGGAUGUAUUAGGGUUAAGAAAUAUAUUAUUAAAAUCAGAGGAAAAGCUGACGAGGAAAGAUCAUUCUGAACUUGUGGGUGAAGGCGCUUACGUAAAGUCUAAGAAAACCAUCGGGAAGAUUAGAGGUCCAGUUCGUAAUGUGAAAAUGGGGACGAAGCAACCCACUGGUUUCACGUUUACAUCUUUAAAGUCUUCAUCCACGGUGAAGCUGGAAACAUUUCAGCAAAGGUUAUCAAAUGUGAAAUUGGUUGUUUCAUCCAACAAAAAGAAACAAAAAAAAGAAAAAAAAGAAACAAGGAAAAAAUGAAAAAAGAGAAAAAAAAAAUAAAAAAAAUCUGACAUUGUAAUAGGCUCUCUUUAUUGCAUAGAAGCGUUGCACACUUAAUUGUUGGGACUCAUGGAUACUUGAAAGAAGUACCCAUGCUCAUAAAGCGCAUCAACUUAUGAAUUGGUGCAAGAAUCAUAUUCUUGUAUGUUGAGAUUGAAAAGUUCGAUCGAAGAGGAUGCAUUGGGAAUGCAACCGGGACCUGCUUGCCAGGUGGAUUUGGAGAUGAUCUGAAUCUGAAUUAUAUUGUGGGCAUGUUCUUGUUCAGGUGGCUGACAUUUCUGAUGAAUCGGGGAAGAAGCGUGGUCAGUGUAUUAUAUCCGGGGAAAAAGAGCAUGAAAAAGCUGAGAAAAAUACAGCUAUACAUCAACUACUCAACCACUGCAGAUAAAGAUAGUUACAAGUGCAUAUCUGUAGCAGAAACUAUCGCUUAAGACUGUGUUUUGGAGACUGCGAUGAAAGGCCAACAGUUUCAGCACAGAAACUUGUUGCUACAUGGUUCGUGGAAAUGGUUGGUGGAUUCAUUUGCAUCUUUUCUGGAGUUUUAGAUGCAUACACAAAGCUCAGAUACCUUUCAUACGUUAUGGAUAUCUCCACAGCAACAGUAGAUUAUCUUGAUUUGGUGCACGACAUUCUGCUGCCCGUGGUAAUCAAAGACAAAAGUAAGCACACAUUGAGUCACUAAGAGGUUAAGCAUUGUCAGUAUUUUAUAUCUCGGGAACCAGAGCAAGAAAAAGCUGGGAAAAAUACAGCUAUACAUCAAAUAUUCAACCACUGCAGAUGAAAGUAGUUGCAAGGUAUGCAGAUGAAUAUAGUUACAAGAUAUAUGCAGAUGUUUUAUAGUUCAUGCUUAACGCCUAUUUCGUACAAAAUCAAGAUUCCAUCCUUCGGCGAGAGUGGCAUGACUAACUAUGUGUUAUGUCUAGUGCACAUACAUCUGUAGUAGAAAAUAUAGCUUACGACUAUGUUUUGGAGACUGCGAUGAGAGGCCAACAGUUUCAGCAAAGAAACUUGUUGUUGCUACAUGGUUUGUUGAUGAAUUUGGCGUUUUAGAUGCAUACACAAAAGCUCAGGUAUCAUGAUUUUGCAUUGCUGGUUACCUGGAACGGCUAUAUAUGUUUCCACUAUUGUAAAACGCAUUCUUACUCUUCGAUCGUUUAGAUACCUUUCAUACGUUAUGGAUUUCGCCACACCAACAGCAGAAUGUCUUGACUUUGUGCACCACUUUCUGAUUGAAUGUCUUGAUUGUUUUACUUAUCAGGUCCGUUUUCUGGGGGAAGUUUCUGUUCAAAUUGAGCAGAUACACACUCUGGUCUUUCAGAAUUACCAGGCACUUGAUGAAUAUUAAAGAUGUAUUGAAGCUCUACAAAUGGUUGCAUGAUAUUCUUUCACCCGAGGUUCUUAGUGAAGGCCUAUCAUGGAUGGUUUCUGCAGUGGAUGACUUUGGUACUUCUCAUAUUAAGCUGAAGCUUUAGGAAGGUUGAUAAAGUAACUGAUUCUACAUCAACUGCGGUGAGUGGUGGCAUCACUGGCAUGGAUGGUCUUCCACGUCAAGAUAUCAGUGAAAAGACUACCCCCCCCCCCCCGUUAAAAGGCUUAGAGGGUUCUGAUUUGAAGUGUAGGUCCGUUUGGAAUCUAUUGAAAGUGUGACCAAAAUUCUGGAAGAGGCGAACAAACCUAUUCUGCCUGCUGGAACUGGAGAUCUAUUUGGAGCUCUAAAAGGGCGUCCACACGACAGUAACAACAUUUUUUUAUUAUUGCUACUUUGUCCACAAUCGGUACUCUUACGACUGCAAUGGACUGCCAGUUGAGAAGUCAGGCAAGGUACUCUCGUAUACUAUUAGUUAUACUAUUAUUAAGAGUCUCUUGCGCUAACUAAAUGUGAGUUACAAUCCCAAUAUUAUAAAUACUUGGGAUCCUUUAGAUAAUCUUGAAAACGUCAAACACAAUAUUUGUACUUUUAAAUCCCAAUAUUCAAACUCUUCUGUCAUGUACAUAGCUCCUGUGAGGCUUGAUCAUUUACAUGAAUGUGGCUCAUGCAGGGCAUUCUUUCAGAUGCCUUGAAAUGCCUUGAGUGUACAAUGAGAGUACCAAUGCUUGGUGCUGCUCAUCUCGAUAAAAUGGUCUGUAGUCAUUUUAGAAAAUAGUGUUUUUCGACUUCCUGCUUUGAGUAUUGUUAACCUCACGCUUGCUGAUGUCUUUAGCGUUUAGCUACCAUAUAUUAUUCUCUCAGACGCUGAAAUAGGCAUAGAAGGGCGCAGGGAUCUUUUUAAAUGGCUAUCAAGAAGACAACUUACUGGAUUGGAUAAAUAAGCAGAUGGUUGUAAAGCGGCUGAAGCAUGCUUUAAUGAAAUAUUGAGAGGGUUUAUGGACAAGAAACGGUAUGAACAUCCAAAUUUUUUGUUACUUGAUUGAUGUUGGCCAACUCUUUUAGCUGCUAUGUGGCGCCUAGACCUAUCUUAUAUCUCUUCCCUUAUAUGUACCCAAAAAAUUGAGAUAUAUACAACAUUUUGCUUUAGCUGUUAUUAGCAAACAACUGAAGCCAUAUGGAGCUCUUCAAGGUAUUAUGCUACUUACAUUUAACUCAUUCAUCUCCUAGUAAAAAAAUAUAUUUAUGUUUUUCCACUUUUCCAUAUCAUUAUAUUGAUUUUUUUCGUGCCACAUCCAUUGCAGAUAAUUAUGAAUCUGGUAGAUCUGUUUCGUCAAGGUUAUCAGGUCAUAGCAAUUGCCACAACUGAAGGAUUCAAGAAUGAAGCUAAAAACAUGCUAGUUGCAUCUGGUAACAUUGAACAUGAUGGAUAGACAACGACGUGAAGAGGAGUUGAAAGGAAUGGAAGUUGUCUUCUUAUUUAAUGAAUGUCCAUGGCCAUAAAAUUGCUUGCUAUACCCAUGGGAUGAAAAAUGGUUGAUGUUAUUUCCUCUAAUUGCUUGGCGGGGGUACACAUCUUUUCAUAAGGAUGAGGGCCAUCGAAAUUCCAUGGCUUCUUCUCCUCCGAUGUUCAGUCCUUUUCGAUAACCGUUUUCGGAGUAACUCUUACCAGCCGCAUCGACAUGCUUCGUGAGAACCGGAAGCCAAAAAGGUAUUUUGAGAGCUAAUCUACUCACACCCACAAUUAGAUAUGCAGUGGCAUUGUGCUGUCAAUACAAUCUGCCUCGUCAGGUAUUGGAUAUAGGCCUCCUUACCCUUGGACAAUGGGAAUUAUUUGUUUCUUGCUGAGAUUUAUGCAAUGCCGAACAUGAAGAUGAUCCUCAAAUUUUAGAUUGAGUAUGCUACACCUAGCCCUCAUUCAUACGGAACUUUGACCGGGGAUUGACAAGUGAGUUAGCUUAGGAUAUUCUGACCAGCUUCCUUAUGCUCAAGGCCUUUUACAAGGACAAUCAGAAUAUGCAGUUAGUCAAGUCUCUCCACAUCCAUCACAUUUGUAUUAAAUACUUACUAACGAUCUAUUACUUUUGCAACAAACUUUUGUAUUGUCGCAGGUACAACAACUAAUAUUGAAAACCAAAUGGUUGUCAAUAAGAAGCUUUAUACUAUGGCUUCAUUCCAGUUA